rfam:Paenibacillus bovis strain BD3526, complete genome.
CACAUGCUGCAACCGCUCCGAUCGGGUAUAAGUUCAUGGGUAUUCCCUGUGGCACCUGGAUCAGGCGAGUCUGAGACAUGAG